rnacentral:rRNA from 1 species
AUUGAACGCUGGCGGCAGGCUUAACACAUGCAAGUCGAGCGAGCGGCGGACGGGUGAGUAAUGUCUGGGAAACUGCCUGAUGGAGGGGGAUAACUAAUGGAAACGGUAGCUAAUACCGCAUACCAUCAGAUGUGCCCCGAUGGGAGUAGCUAGUAGGUGGGGUAAUGGCUCACCGGGUCGACGAUCCCUAGCUGGUCUGAGAGGAUGACCAGCCACCCUGGAACUGGGACACGGUCAAGACUCCUACGGGAGGCAGCAGUGGGAAAGAUGGCACAAUGGGCGCAAGCCUGAUGCAGCCAUGCCGCGUGUGUGAAUAAGGCCUUCGGGUUGUAAAGCACUUUCAGCGAUGAGGCGUUACUAGCAGAAGAAGCACCGGCUAACUCCGUGCCAGAAGCCGCGGUAAUAC